CCUACGGGUGGCUGCAGUGAGGAAUAUUGGUCAAUGGUCGCGAGCCUGAACCAGCCAAGUCGCGUGAGGGAUGAAUGCCCUGCGGGUUGUAAACUUCUUUUGUGCGGGAGCAAUGAUGGUCACGUGUGGCCAGACGAGAGUACCGUACGAAUAAGCAUCGGCUAACUCCGUGCCAGCAGCCGCGGUAAUACGGGGGAUGCGAGCGUUAUCCGGAUUUCUUGGGUUUAAAGGGUGCGUAGGCGGUGAGGUAAGUCAGCGGUGAAAUGCCCCCGCUCAACGGGGUGAAGUGCCAUUGAUACUGCCUUGCUCGAAUGCGGAUGAAGUGGGAGGAAUGUGUGGUGUAGCGGUGAAAUGCAUAGAUAUCACACAGAACACCGAUUGCGAAGGCAUCUCACGAACCCGAGAUUGACGCUGAGGCACGAAAGCGUGGGUAUCAAACAGGAUUAGAUACCCUUGUAGUC
rnacentral:rRNA from 1 species